UAUGAAAGUACUUUAAUAAUUUGUAUUUAUGUGCAUAGAUGAUAUUCUGGACAGCCCUUUUACAGCUGUCACCAGUACAAAUUCUGCAAGGGCCACACAGUUUCGAUGGUAAGGAGACUUAAUUUGAAAGCAGUAAGAGUUACACAGCAAAAGCAUUUGUCGCCUCACAACAAAAUUUUGUAUUAGGGCGUAAAGAAUUUGAAGAACAGGUGAGAAACCUACAUGUAAUUAUGUUAUCCAUACACAUACCUAAAUAUGUAUCUGCAUUAGUAAUUGUACUAAAUUAAUGAAUUUGUUUUGCUACUUUAAAUUAGGUAUUUGUUUAAUUUCUGAAUUUUUGAUUUAUAACAUGAUUUUGCUUCUUGAGCAAAUGUUUCUGGUUUCUAUAACAAACACCUUUCACAAUAUAAUGGUAAUUG